GCCAGCGUGGUGUAGUGGUUUGAGUGUUGGACUAUGACUCUGGAGACCAGGGUUCAAUUCCCAGCUCAGCCA